rnacentral:rRNA from 1 species
CAGCAGCGCGGGAAUACGGAGGGUGCAAGCGUUAAUCGGAAUUACUGGGCGUAAAGCGCACGCAGGCGGUCUGACAAGUCAGAUGUGAAAUCCCCGGGCUUAACCUGGGAACUGCAUUUGAAACUGUCAGGCUGGAGUCUUGUAGAGGGGGGUGGAAUUCCAGGUGUAGCGGUGAAAUGCGUAGAGAUCUGGAGGAAUACCGGUGGCGAAGGCGGCCCCCUGGACAAAGACUGACGCUCAGGUGCGAAAGCGUGGGGAGCAAACAGGAUUAGAUACCCCUGUAGUCCCUGUCUCUUAUACA